rnacentral:rRNA from 1 species
AACCAACGCUGGCGGCGUGCCUCAGACAUGCAAGUCGAACGCGAAAGUCUCCUUCGGGGGAUAAGUAGAGUGGCGCACGGGUGAGUAACACGUAGGUAAUCUACCUUCGGAUGGGGAAUAACAACCGGAAACGGUUGCUAAUACCGCAUAAUGCAGCGGCACCUAAUGGUGACAGUUGUUAAAGCGGGGAUCGAAAGACCUCGCGUCUGAAGAGGAGCCUGCGGCGGAUUAGCUAGUUGGUAGGGUAAUGGCCUACCAAGGCGACGAUCCGUAGCCGGCCUGAGAGGGCGGUCGGCCACACUGACACUGACAUACGGGUCAGACUCCUACGGGAGGCAGCAGUCGGGAAUUUU